rnacentral:rRNA from 1 species
CGAAUAGCUCAUUACAACAGCCACCGUUUACUAGAAUAUANUUAUCCUACUUGGAUAACUGUGGCAAUUCUAGAGCUAAUACAUGCAAAAAAGCUCCGCCCGCAAGGAACGAGCGCAUUUAUUAGAAUAAAAACCAAUNGGGUUUCGGCCCGUAAUUUGGUGAAUCUGAAUAACUUUGCCAAUCGCNCAGUCCUAGUACNGGCGAUGUAUCUUUCAANUGUCUGCCUUAUCAACUUUNGAUGGUAGGUUAYACGCCUACCAUGGUNGUAACGGGUAACGGAGAAUAAGGGUUCGACUCCGGAGAGGGAGCCUGAGAAACGGCUACCACAUCCAAGGAAGGCAGCAGGCGCGCAAAUUACCCACUUCCNGAACGGAGAGGUAGUGACGAAAAAUAACGAGACNGUCCUCUUCGAGGUCUGUCAUCGGAAUGGGUACAAUUUAAAUCCUUUAACGAGGAUCUAUUGGAGGGCAAGUCUGGUGCCAG